UACAGAGGUGGCAAGCGUUGUUCGGAAUUACUGGGCGUAAAGGGCGCGUAGGCGGCCUUCUAAGUCGGACGUGAAAGCCCCAGGCUUAACCUGGGAACUGCGUCCGAUACUGGGAGGCUUGGAUUCGGGAGAGGGAUGUGGAAUUCCAGGUGUAGCGGUGAAAUGCGUAGAUAUCGGGAAGAACAUCGGUGGCGAAGGCGGCCAGCUGGGCCAUUGCUGACGCUGAUGCGCGACAGCGUGGGGAGCAAACAGG
rnacentral:rRNA from 1 species